CAGUGUCCUCAGUGUCUAACCCAGUUUGCUCACUGGUGUAUGGUCUUUGGGCAAUCAAGUGGUCAGUUUAUAUCAGAUACUGAUGAGAGAUAAAAACCGAACCCUACUGUAUACCUAACCCAGAAUAUGAAACCGACACUGAUGCUUGUGUGUGGAGUCUUUCUUUUUGGUCUUGGCAUGGCCGAAGAUUACAAUCACGAUGACGAUGAUGAUUACAAUUACGAUGGCAAUUUAUCUACCCCUACUUAUAACUAUGACUAUGAGGAUUAUUGGGAAGAACAUGCCACAUUGCCAGCUCCAACCUCUGGGAGUACUGGAUUAACUGCAGGCAAAACUGCCAGCUUGCUCAUCUUCUUCUUCAUCUUCCUCUUCGACUGGGAGUAGCAGCAUGAUCACUAUGGCAUGGGGUACAACACUGUCUCUUAAUCUUCUCACCACAACCAAACCGGAGCUGCUAGACAUUCUAAAUACAAGCUCAUCUGAUACACUUGUUUCAAUAUUACAGAUGGGCCCAAGUAGGUUGGUGCAGACUAGGACUGGGAAUUGCAACAACCAUUUUGCCAAUUAAAAACCAUAUUGUUAAGUUCAA